rfam:Brachypodium distachyon strain Bd21 chromosome 1, whole genome shotgun sequence.
UAUAUACUUCUUCCGUCUAAUAAAAGAUGUCUCAAUUUUGACUAAAUUUGAAUACAUCUAUACACUAAGUCAUGUCUAGAUACAUUCAAAUUUUAACAAAUUUGAGACAUAUUUUGUUGGACGGAGAAAGUAAAAA